GAGCCGGUAGCUCAGUUGGUAGAGCAACGGCCUUUUAAGCCGUGGGUCGCGGGUUCGAGUCCCGCCCGGCUCACCA
rnacentral:tRNA from 1 species